UUUUCCCUGCAGUGUACGCGAAGGCAUAUAUUCCUUUGAACCAAUAAGUUCGCUUCAGGUUACCGGGAGCAGUAGUAGGCGUGAUCGUCUUUUGCAGAUGAACCCGAAACUACCCGAGGUGGCCGCCUUGUCAGACAAGGUUCAAGCGGAUUCAGCCGAAACGGCAUGUGCGGGGAUUCC
rnacentral:other from 1 species